GACGUAGGGCGCGAGCGUUGUCCGGAUUUAUUGGGCGUAAAGAGCUCGUAGGCGGCUUGUCGCGUCGUCCGUGAAAACCCACGGCUUAACUGUGGGCUUGCGGUCGAUACGGGCAGGCUGGAGUUCGGUAGGGGAGACUGGAAUUCCUGGUGUAGCGGUGAAAUGCGCAGAUAUCGGGAAGAACAUCAGUGGCGAAGGCGGCCUGCUGGGCUGUUGCUGACGCUGAGGCGCGACAGCGUGGGGAGCAAACAGG
rnacentral:rRNA from 1 species